rnacentral:rRNA from 1 species
AUAAACGCUGGCGGCGUGCCUAAUACAUGCAAGUCGAGCGAACAGAUAAGGAGCUUGCUCCUUUGACGUUAGCGGCGGACGGGUGAGUAACACGUGGGUAACCUACCUAUAAGACUGGGAUAACUUCGGGAAACCGGAGCUAAUACCGGAUAACAUUUGGAACCGCAUGGUUCUAAAGUGAAAGAUGGUUUUGCUAUCACUUAUAGAUGGACCCGCGCCGUAUUAGCUAGUUGGUAAGGUAACGGCUUACCAAGGCGACGAUACGUAGCCGACCUGAGAGGGUGAUCGGCCACACUGGAACUGAGACACGGUCCAGACUCCUACGGGAGGCAGCAGUAGGGAAUCUUCCGCAAUAGGCGAAAGCCUGACGGAGCAACGCCGCGUGAGUGAUGAAGGGUUUCGGCUCGUAAAACUCUGUUAUUAGGGAAGAACAAAUGUGUAAGUAACUGUGCACGUCUUGACGGUACCUAAUCAGAAAGCCACGGCUAACUACGUG